rnacentral:rRNA from 1 species
AUUGAACGCUGGCGGCAGGCCUAACACAUGCAAGUCGAGCGGUAGCACAGAGAGCUUGCUCUCGGGUGACGAGCGGCGGACGGGUGAGUAAUGUCUGGGAAACUGCCUGAUGGAGGGGGAUAACUACUGGAAACGGUAGCUAAUACCGCAUAACGUCGCAAGACCAAAGAGGGGGACCUUCGGGCCUCUUGCCAUCAGAUGUGCCCAGAUGGGAUUAGCUAGUAGGUGGGGUAACGGCUCACCUAGGCGACGAUCCCUAGCUGGUCUGAGAGGAUUACCAGCCACACUGGAACUGAGACACGGUCCAGACUCCUACGGGAGGCAGCAGUGGGGAAUAUUGCACAAUGGGCGCAAGCCUGAUGCAGCCAUGCCGCGUGUAUGAAGAAGGCCUUCGGGUUGUAAAGUACUUUCAGCGGGGAGGAAGGUGUUGAGAUUAAUAACCUCAGCAAUUGACGUUACCCGCAGAAGAAACACCGGCUAACUCCGUGCCAGCAGCCGCCGUAA